rnacentral:piRNA from 1 species
UAAUUGGUAGACUUGAACAGGUUGGU